GACGAAGGAUGCAAGCGUUAUCCGGAUUCAUUGGGUUUAAAGGGAGCGUAGGUGGCCUUAUAAGUCAGUGGUGAAAUCUCUGGGCUUAACCCAGAAAUUGCCAUUGAUACUGUAGGGCUUGAGUAUAGUUGCCGUUGGCGGAAUAUGACAUGUAGUGGUGAAAUACAUAGAGAUGUCAUAGAACACCGAUUGCGAAGGCAGCUGACGAAACUAUAACUGACACUGAGGCUCGAAAGCGUGGGGAUCAAACAGG
rnacentral:rRNA from 1 species